CUUUGUAAUGUGUCAGCUUGGCUAGGCUGAACUACAUUUCCCAGAAUUCCCUUCUCUCUGUGUUUCCAGUUAGGGCAGGCCGCAAGUUACAAGGCGGAAAUGGAGGAAAUGGAGCACAGCGGUUUGUAGCUCUCACGUGGUUGCUUAUCUGCUGACCCACCUUACUGAUGUGGGGCAGCAGCUGCCCCGGCAACUUCUCUACCUUUCCAAGAAUCCUCUCUCAGCUUCUCCAACCCUGAAGCCAGGCGUACGUUUAACUCCCACGUGCAGAGCACCAGCUUCUCCUACAGGAGGAUGCCCAUGCCAGUGUGGUCAGAGAUGCCCACACCUCAGAGAGAGCCCUCCCCUGGACUGGAGGUAUAAGGACAUGAGCCAGGUAACCACACCUGUGGAAAGUCCACUGGUUCAUUUUGAGAAUUCGUGUUAGUAUUCAUGCAGCAGCUGGGGCCUUACCUGAGAAGAGAUAAAUAGCCCCCAAGCAUUUGCCUUGUAAAACCUUGCAAACAGCCCAUCAUUAAAACUCAAAGUAAAUGUUUGCCACGUUUCUUUAAUGCUCCCAGUAUGUGUGAUGACCAACAUCAAUGAUUAAAAUGAGAAUUAUCAAUCUUGAGGUUAUUAAUUACUAAUGUCUUUUAGCCCCAUUAAUAGGAAUAAGUGUGAGAAAAAUAUCAAUCAAUGCUAUCUUGCUUAAGUAAUCUUUUCACUGCAUGCAUCUGAAGGUUAGGCUGUCGAAAGUCUUCAAGCCCUUACCAAA